GGUGUGUGGACAACGAGGAAGCCAGGUGGGGGUGUGGGGAGAGGAGCGCAGAAAUCUCAGCUCUGUCCCUGUUCUGCACCCAGCAUGAUGGCCAGCCCUACUGCCACAAGCCCUGCUACGGAAUACUCUUUGGACCGAAAGGAGUGAAUACCGGAGCCGUGGGCAGCUACAUCUAUGACAGAGACCCAGAGGGCAAAGCUCAGCCCUAGGGAUGCAGCCCGUCCAAGGAGCCAGGGCCUUCUCCUCUGCCGGCCCUGCUCCAGAGCCUACUGCUUGGCCCUAUGGGGGAGAGCGGCCAGCCGUCCGGUCCUCCCCCUGCACGUCCAGGGCCCGGGUGUUGUGCGGGAGGAGGCCCGCCUGCCUAUCCCCGUUUCUCUCCCCUGCCCGUGGUCCCACACGGCCCCGCGUGUCUCCUGGCCCUCCGUGGGUCUGUCUGAGGUGGGCGUCCCGCUCUCCCCCUCCUACUGCCCCAGGCCUGCCUCACAGUGUUAUUUCUGCUCCCCUCGCCGGUGACGCUGCCACGCUCUUCACGGUGUUCCCAGGGCGGACCCAGGGCGUCCCUGCCAGGAGCCCUCUGCCCAUCGCCCCCACCGCCUUGCAGUGCUUGCCUGACACCCUUACGCGGCUCACAUGUAACUGCUGAGAUUGCCGUCAAUAAAGGUUUGAGGAUUGGGGGA